UGGAAUCUCAGGCUCGGCUGAAGUGGUA
rnacentral:piRNA from 1 species